rnacentral:rRNA from 1 species
CAUGCAAGUCGAACGAACUCUGGUAUUGAUUGGUGCUUGCAUCAUGAUUUACAUUUGAGUGAGUGGCGAACUGGUGAGUAACACGUGGGAAACCUGCCCAGAAGCGGGGGAUAACACCUGGAAACAGAUGCUAAUACCGCAUAACAACUUGGACCGCAUGGUCCGAGCUUGAAAGAUGGCUUCGGCUAUCACUUUUGGAUGGUCCCGCGGCGUAUUAGCUAGAUGGUGGGGUAACGGCUCACCAUGGCAAUGAUACGUAGCCGACCUGAGAGGGUAAUCGGCCACAUUGGGACUGAGACACGGCCCAAACUCCUACGGGAGGCAGCAGUAGGGAAUCUUCCACAAUGGACGAAAGUCUGAUGGAGCAACGCCGCGUGAGUGAAGAAGGGUUUCGGCUCGUAAAACUCUGUUGUUAAAGAAGAACAUAUCUGAGAGUAACUGUUCAGGUAUUGACGGUAUUUAACCAGAAAGCCACGGCUAACUACGUGCCAGCAGCCGCGGUAAUACGUAGGUGGCAAGCGUUGUCCGGAUUUAUUGGGCGUAAAGCGAGCGCAGGCGGUUUUUUAAGUCUGAUGUGAAAGCCUUCGGCUCAACCGAAGAAGUGCAUCGGAAACUGGGAAACUUGAGUGCAGAAGAGGACAGUGGAACUCCAUGUGUAGCGGUGAAAUGCGUAGAUAUAUGGAAGAACACCAGUGGCGAAGGCGGCUGUCUGGUCUGUAACUGACGCUGAGGCUCGAAAGUAUGGGUAGCAAACAGGAUUAGAUACCCUGGUAGUCCAUACCGUAAACGAUGAAUGCUAAGUGUUGGAGGGUUUCCGCCCUUCAGUGCUGCAGCUAACGCAUUAAGCAUUCCGCCUGGGGAGUACGGCCGCAAGGCUGAAACUCAAAGGAAUUGACGGGGGCCCGCACAAGCGGUGGAGCAUGUGGUUUAAUUCGAAGCUACGCGAAGAACCUUACCAGGUCUUGACAUACUAUGCAAAUCUAAGAGAUUAGACGUUCCCUUCGGGGACAUGGAUACAGGUGGUGCAUGGUUGUCGUCAGCUCGUGUCGUGAGAUGUUGGGUUAAGUCCCGCAACGAGCGCAACCCUUAUUAUCAGUUGCCAGCAUUAAGUUGGGCACUCUGGUGAGACUGCCGGUGACAAACCGGAGGAAGGUGGGGAUGACGUCAAAUCAUCAUGCCCCUUAUGACCUGGGCUACACACGUGCUACAAUGGAUGGUACAACGAGUUGCGAACUCGCGAGAGUAAGCUAAUCUCUUAAAGCCAUUCUCAGUUCGGAUUGUAGGCUGCAACUCGCCUACAUGAAGUCGGAAUCGCUAGUAAUCGCGGAUCAGCAUGCCGCGGUGAAUACGUUCCCGGGCCUUGUACACACCGCCCGUCACACCAUGAGAGUUUGUAACACCCAAAGUCGGUGGGGUAACCUUUUAGGAACCAGCCGCCU